GAAGGGACAUAGCUCAGUGGGGGAGCCUCUGCUUUAAGUGCAAAAGGUCCUGGGCUCGAUCCCUGGCAUUUCA